rnacentral:rRNA from 1 species
UACGUAGGGUGCGAGCGUUGUCCGGAAUUAUUGGGCGUAAAGAGUUCGUAGGCGGUGUGUCACGUCGGCCGUGAAAACCUGCAGCUUAACUGUGGGCGUGCGGUCGAUACGGGCAUCACUGGAGUUCGGCAGGGGAGACUGGAAUUCCUGGUGUAGCGGUGAAAUGCGCAGAUAUCAGGAGGAACACCAGUGGCGAAGGCGGCUCACUGGCCCGAUACUGACGCUGAGGCACGAAAGCGUGGGGAGCGAACAGG